GACGAACGCUGGCGGCGUGCUUAACACAUGCAAGUCGAACGGUGAAGCGCCUUCCUUUUUGGUGGGUGUGGAUGAGUGGCGAACGGGUGAGUAACACGUGAGUAACCUGCCCCCUUCUUCUGGAUAACCGCAUGAAAGUGUGGCUAAUACGGGAUAUUCUGGGUCUGUCGCAUGAUGGGUCUGGGAAAGAUAUUGCUUCGGUGGGGGAUGGGCUCGCGGCCUAUCAGCUUGUUGGUGGGGUGAUGGCCUACCAAGGCGGUGACGGGUAGCCGGCCUGAGAGGGUGGACGGUCACACUGGGACUGAGACACGGCCCAGACUCCUACGGGAGGCAGCAGUGGGGAAUAUUGCACAAUGGGCGCAAGCCUGAUGCAGCGACGCCGCGUGAGGGAUGGAGGCCUUCGGGUUGUGAACCUCUUUCGCCAGUGAAGCAGGCCUGCCUCGUUUGUGGGUGGGUUGACGGUAGCUGGAGAAGAAGCGCCGGCUAACUACGUG
rnacentral:rRNA from 1 species